rnacentral:rRNA from 1 species
UCGGGAAUUUUGGGCAAUGGGCGAAAGCCUGACCCAGCAACGCCGCGUGAAGGAUGAAGUAUUUCGGUAUGUAAACUUCGUAAGAAUAGGAAGAAUAAAUGACGGUACUAUUUGUAAGGUCCGGCUAACUACGUGCCAGCAGCCGCGGUAAUACGUAGGGACCAAGCGUUGUUCGGAUUUACUGGGCGUAAAGGGCGCGUAGGCGGUGUGUCAAGUCAGUUGUGAAAUCUCCGAGCUUAACUCGGAACGGUCAACUGAUACUGUCACACUAGAGUACAGAAGGGGCAAUCGGAAUUCUUGGUGUAGAGGUGAAAUUCGUAGAUAUUAGGAAGAACACCAGUGGCGAAGGCGGCCAACUGGCUCGAUACUGACGCUGAGGUGCGAAAGCGUGGGGAGCAAACAGGAUUAGAUACCCAAGUAGUCCCUGAGCGGGCUGGCAAGGCGCAU